UGAAUUAAGUAUUACAACGGAAGAGUGCUUAAUACAUAAAAAAUCCAAAUGGAUAUAUUGUAAUAUACUACCAAACAAUCAUAGAUGAAAUAACAAACAGUUAUUUCGUCUCUCUUUUAUUUGUUAUAAACUUUGGUUCAUACAAAUAAUCAUCCGCUGGGUGUUAUAUAUAUUUUAAAUUUGUGAGUUAACACAUUUCCAUAUACAGUUAUUAUAUACAUAAAUAAAAAAAAAAAAAACUUAAAAUACACACAUACAGCCACCUGUUCCUAAAGUAAGCAAUUAAAUGCUUGUGUUACAGGUAACAGAUGACUGAUAUAGCUACAUUUUUUUCCGAUAGAUAUACGAUAUUUAUUAUAUAUAUUCUAUAGUUAUUAAUAUAUUAAAAACUUAAUUAUGUAAUAGACCCAGACUAAGGUGGGAAUCGAAUCCACAAACCGCGGAGCAAAAACCUGGGCCAAUACAAACUGCGCCAACUGGCUUAUCAAAUACAUGUACCUAAUUAUUUUAAUUUGUUGGUAUUAUAAAAUAUUACGUUUCUUAUAAUGUAAAUCUGUUUUAUAAAUAAAUAAGUUCCUAAUAUAACAAAUUCAACGUUGAAUAAAUCUUACUUUUAUAAUUGUUAUAUCUACUAGUAGAUACCCAAUAAAAUUCGUAAAUUACGUAUAUUGAAACAAUUUUAGUAUCUUCUUUCUCAUUUUAAAUAUAUCGUUACAAACUAAAAAAUCACAAAAAGCGUACCUAUUACAAAAAUAUUUUUAUACAAUCAUGAAUACAAAUAUAUGUAUAUUAGUAGAUAUCUAGAUACUUUUAAUUAUCAAUUGUAAUUCCUGUUCGUUCUGUCGUCCCAUUCUGCCUGUUUUAACAUACGGUGCCGAAACGUAGACACUGACGAAGGGACUAGUCCACAAGUUUAAAGUCACUCAACGUGCAAUGGAACGGGCUAUGGUUGGGUUUCUCUCUCAAAUAUAGGAAUAAAAAUGAGACUAUCCGCGAGAGGGCCGAGAAAGUAAUCGAUAUAGUUUAUAGAAUUAGCAAGUAGAAGUGGCGGUGGGCUGGUUACUUGUAUCACAGGACCGAUGGCUGUUGGUGGAUACGCCGGCUGGAGUGAAGACCGUGUUUUGAUAAACGCAAUGUGGGACGCUUUUCGGCCCACUGGACCGACGAUCUAGGUAAGACCUCUAGUGGGGGGCUGGAUGAUUGCGGAGAACCGGGAAGCUUGGCGCAAACUUGGGAGAGGCCUAUGUCCAGCAGUGGACUGUGAUAGGCUGGAAGCGAUAUAUUGUACAUUGACGAUUCUUACGAUUAUAUAAUUUUUUACAGCUAUUACAUGAGUACUUACAUUUUUUUCGAACAGCAACAUUUUAUACAACAACAUUUAUUAUUUAUUAUUAUUUAUAAAAUUCGGAUAAUCUAGCUC
rnacentral:misc_RNA from 1 species